rnacentral:tRNA from 1 species
GGGGAUGUAGCUCAGUUGGCAGAGUGCUCGCUUAGCACGCAUGAAGCCCUGGGUUCAGUCCUCAGCACUCCCU